GACGAACGCUGGCGGCAUGCCUAAUACAUGCAAGUCGAGCGGAGUUGAUGGAAAGCUUGCUCUCCUGAUACUUAGCGGCGGACGGGUGAGUAACACGUAGGCAACCUGCCCUCAAGCUUGGGACAACUACCGGAACGGUAGCUAAUACCGAAUACUUGUUUUCUUCGCCUGAAGAGAACUGGAAAGACGGAGCAAUCUGUCACUUGGGGAUGGGCCUGCGGCGCAUUAGCUAGUUGGUGAGGUAACGGCUCACCAAGGCGACGAUGCGUAGCCGACCUGAGAGGGUGAUCGGCCACACUGGGACUGAGACACGGCCCAGACUCCUACGGGAGGCAGCAGUAGGGAAUCUUCCGCAAUGGGCGAAAGCCUGACGGAGCAAUGCCGCGUGAGUGAUGAAGGUUUUCGGAUCGUAAAGCUCUGUUGCCAGGGAAGAACGCUUGAGAGAGUAACUGCUCUCAAGGUGACGGUACCUGAGAAGAAAGCCCCGGCUAACUACGUGCCAGCCGCCGCGGUAA
rnacentral:rRNA from 1 species